AUAUUAUAUUAACGUGCAGCAGUUGGUUUAAAAGUCUACUAAAUUAAUUGAUAGUGCGUGCAAUUUGCAGCGAGGGAUUGCUGAUACAGAUCAUCAUGUGCCUGAUGGAUUGGAAGCUAACGUGAAUAUUCGCAAUGAUAAUGAGCUGAUAGAGAAAACAUACGGUAUCGCUGACGUCAUUACUCAGAUAAACGAUGGAUGCUUUAACAAGAUUAUUUAAGAAAAUUGAG